UGAAUAAUAUAAGCACUAUCACCUAAGGUGCAGGUUAUGAGCUUUCAAUGCCAUUCACAUAAAUAAAUCGUCUGAAUAAUAUAAAAACUCACAUGUGCGUCCACAUCACCAUUUCACAUAUAUGCAUCAUAUACCAAAUCAUAUAAUUCAUAUAAUUUCUAUGUAUGGCAUUUCAAAACUCAUUUCAUAACGCAUUUCAUUUAACUCGAUUUCUGGGAAAAUCAAUAGUAUAUAGAUAUAUAUAUAGAAAACAAAUGCCCACUCACCUGGGGUCCGCGCUACGACUCCCUAACAUCAAAACCAAGGCGUCCCGAACGCUCGGCUCCUAAAACAGUUAUCAAACCACGUCUCAGAACUCUUAUCCAUAGAAUAUGAAAUUCACAUAA
rnacentral:lncRNA from 1 species